GGAUAGCUCAGACCAUAGAGCAUGAGACUCUUAAUCUCAGGUUUGUGGGUUUGAGCCUCACGUUGGGCA